AGCGUACACGGUGGAUGCCCUGGCAGUCAGAGGCGAUGAAGGACGUGCUAAUCUGCGAUAAGCGUCGGUAAGGUGAUAUGAACCGUUAUAACCGGCGAUUUCCGAAUGGGGAAACCCAGUGUGUUUCGACACACUAUCAUUAACUGAAUCCAUAGGUUAAUGAGGCGAACCGGGGGAACUGAAACAUCUAAGUACCCCGAGGAAAAGAAAUCAACCGAGAUUCCCCCAGUAGCGGCGAGCGAACGGGGAGCAGCCCAGAGCCUGAAUCAGUAUGUGUGUUAGUGGAAGCGUCUGGAAAGGCGCGCGAUACAGGGUGACAGCCCCGUACACAAAAAUGCACAUAUUGUGAGCUCGAUGAGUAGGGCGGGACACGUGGUAUCCUGUCUGAAUAUGGGGGGACCAUCCUCCAAGGCUAAAUACUCCUGACUGACCGAUAGUGAACCAGUACCGUGAGGGAAAGGCGAAAAGAACCCCGGCGAGGGGAGUGAAAAAGAACCUGAAACCGUGUACGUACAAGCAGUGGGAGCACGCUUAGGCGUGUGACUGCGUACCUUUUGUAUAAUGGGUCAGCGACUUAUAUUCUGUAGCAAGGUUAACCGAAUAGGGGAGCCGAAGGGAAACCGAGUCUUAACUGGGCGUUAAGUUGCAGGGUAUAGACCCGAAACCCGGUGAUCUAGCCAUGGGCAGGUUGAAGGUUGGGUAACACUAACUGGAGGACCGAACCGACUAAUGUUGAAAAAUUAGCGGAUGACUUGUGGCUGGGGGUGAAAGGCCAAUCAAACCGGGAGAUAGCUGGUUCUCCCCGAAAGCUAUUUAGGUAGCGCCUCGUGAAUUCAUCUCCGGGGGUAGAGCACUGUUUCGGCAAGGGGGUCAUCCCGACUUACCAACCCGAUGCAAACUGCGAAUACCGGAGAAUGUUAUCACGGGAGACACACGGCGGGUGCUAACGUCCGUCGUGAAGAGGGAAACAACCCAGACCGCCAGCUAAGGUCCCAAAGUCAUGGUUAAGUGGGAAACGAUGUGGGAAGGCCCAGACAGCCAGGAUGUUGGCUUAGAAGCAGCCAUCAUUUAAAGAAAGCGUAAUAGCUCACUGGUCGAGUCGGCCUGCGCGGAAGAUGUAACGGGGCUAAACCAUGCACCGAAGCUGCGGCAGCGACGCUGAUGCGUUGUUGGGUAGGGGAGCGUUCUGUAAGCCUGCGAAGGUGUGCUGUGAGGCAUGCUGGAGGUAUCAGAAGUGCGAAUGCUGACAUAAGUAACGAUAAAGCGGGUGAAAAGCCCGCUCGCCGGAAGACCAAGGGUUCCUGUCCAACGUUAAUCGGGGCAGGGUGAGUCGACCCCUAAGGCGAGGCCGAAAGGCGUAGUCGAUGGGAAACAGGUUAAUAUUCCUGUACUUGGUGUUACUGCGAAGGGGGGACGGAGAAGGCUAUGUUGGCCGGGCGACGGUUGUCCCGGUUUAAGCGUGUAGGCUGGUUUUCCAGGCAAAUCCGGAAAAUCAAGGCUGAGGCGUGAUGACGAGGCACUACGGUGCUGAAGCAACAAAUGCCCUGCUUCCAGGAAAAGCCUCUAAGCAUCAGGUAACAUCAAAUCGUACCCCAAACCGACACAGGUGGUCAGGUAGAGAAUACCAAGGCGCUUGAGAGAACUCGGGUGAAGGAACUAGGCAAAAUGGUGCCGUAACUUCGGGAGAAGGCACGCUGAUAUGUAGGUGAAGUCCCUCGCGGAUGGAGCUGAAAUCAGUCGAAGAUACCAGCUGGCUGCAACUGUUUAUUAAAAACACAGCACUGUGCAAACACGAAAGUGGACGUAUACGGUGUGACGCCUGCCCGGUGCCGGAAGGUUAAUUGAUGGGGUUAGCCGCAAGGCGAAGCUCUUGAUCGAAGCCCCGGUAAACGGCGGCCGUAACUAUAACGGUCCUAAGGUAGCGAAAUUCCUUGUCGGGUAAGUUCCGACCUGCACGAAUGGCGUAAUGAUGGCCAGGCUGUCUCCACCCGAGACUCAGUGAAAUUGAACUCGCUGUGAAGAUGCAGUGUACCCGCGGCAAGACGGAAAGACCCCGUGAACCUUUACUAUAGCUUGACACUGAACAUUGAGCCUUGAUGUGUAGGAUAGGUGGGAGGCUUAGAAGUGUGGACGCCAGUCUGCAUGGAGCCGACCUUGAAAUACCACCCUUUAAUGUUUGAUGUUCUAACGUUGACCCGUAAUCCGGGUUGCGGACAGUGUCUGGUGGGUAGUUUGACUGGGGCGGUCUCCUCCUAAAGAGUAACGGAGGAGCACGAAGGUUGGCUAAUCCUGGUCGGACAUCAGGAGGUUAGUGCAAUGGCAUAAGCCAGCUUGACUGCGAGCGUGACGGCGCGAGCAGGUGCGAAAGCAGGUCAUAGUGAUCCGGUGGUUCUGAAUGGAAGGGCCAUCGCUCAACGGAUAAAAGGUACUCCGGGGAUAACAGGCUGAUACCGCCCAAGAGUUCAUAUCGACGGCGGUGUUUGGCACCUCGAUGUCGGCUCAUCACAUCCUGGGGCUGAAGUAGGUCCCAAGGGUAUGGCUGUUCGCCAUUUAAAGUGGUACGCGAGCUGGGUUUAGAACGUCGUGAGACAGUUCGGUCCCUAUCUGCCGUGGGCGCUGGAGAACUGAGGGGGGCUGCUCCUAGUACGAGAGGACCGGAGUGGACGCAUCACUGGUGUUCGGGUUGUCAUGCCAAUGGCACUGCCCGGUAGCUAAAUGCGGAAGAGAUAAGUGCUGAAAGCAUCUAAGCACGAAACUUGCCCCGAGAUGAGUUCUCCCUGACUCCUUGA
rnacentral:rRNA from 1 species